AGUGAACGCUGGCGGUAGGCCUAACACAUGCAAGUCGAACGGCAGCACAGUAAGGGCUUGCUCUUACGGGUGGCGAGUGGCGGACGGGUGAGGAAUACAUCGGAAUCUACUUUUUCGUGGGGGAUAACGUAGGGAAACUUACGCUAAUACCGCAUACGACCUACGGGUGAAAGCAGGGGAUCUUCGGACCUUGCGCGAUUGAAUGAGCCGAUGUCGGAUUAGCUAGUUGGCGGGGUAAAGGCCCACCAAGGCGACGAUCCGUAGCUGGUCUGAGAGGAUGAUCAGCCACACUGGAACUGAGACACGGUCCAGACUCCUACGGGAGGCAGCAGUGGGGAAUAUUGGACAAUGGGCGCAAGCCUGAUCCAGCCAUACCGCGUGGGUGAAGAAGGCCUUCGGGUUGUAAAGCCCUUUUGUUGGGGAAGAAAAGCAGCAGGUUAAUACCCCGCUGUUCUGACGGUACCCAAAGAAUAAGCACCGGCUAACUUCGUG
rnacentral:rRNA from 1 species